rnacentral:rRNA from 1 species
GUAGUCAUAUGCUUGUCUCAAAGAUUAAGCCAUGCAUGUCUAAGUAUAAGCAAUUAUACCGUGAAACUGCGAAUGGCUCAUUAAAUCAGUUAUCGUUUAUUUGAUAGUACCUUACUACUUGGAUAACCGUGGUAAUUCUAGAGCUAAUACAUGCUGAAAACCCCAACUUCGGAAGGGGUGUAUUUAUUAGAUAAAAAACCAAUGCCCUUCGGGGCUCCUUGGUGAUUCAUAAUAACUUCUCAGAUCGCAUGACCUUGCGCCGGCGACGGUUCAUUCAAAUUUCUGCCCUAUCAACUUUCGAUGGUAAGGUAUUGGCUUACCAUGGUUUCAACGGGUAACGGGGAAUUAGGGUUCGAUUCCGGAGAGGGAGCCUGAGAAACGGCCACCACAUCCAAGGAAGGCAGCAGUCGCGCAAAUUACCCAAUCCCGACACGGGGAGGUAGUGACAAUAAAUACUGAUACAGGGCUCUUUUGGGUCUUGUAAUUGGAAUGAGUACAAUUUAUAUCCCUUAACGAGGAACAAUUGGGGGGCAAGUCUGGUGCCAGCAGCC